rnacentral:tRNA from 1 species
GCCAGCGUAGCUCAGUGGUAGAGCACCGCCCUCAUAAAGCGGUCGUCACAGGUUCAAUUCCUGUCGCUGGCACCA